GGGCAGCCUCCCUGUCUGCCUGGAUCUUUCACUCAACACCUUAUGUGACAGUGACACCUUAACUCUGCAGUCAGACCCGCCUGGGCACUCCCAGCUCAGUCAUUUCCCUGAUGCAGAUAAACAGUGUCCUUGUGACUCUGAGGAACACAACUGACAGAUCCCAGGCCAUGCCUCGUGGAAGAGCUUCUGUGACCACAGCAGGAUGGGUGGACCUGCAUCAUUCCACUCUGACAUCCCGUCAGCUGCUGGCAGGAGCAAGGAUCUGAGACCCUAGUGGAAGGGUCUUCCCAGGAGUAUUCAUGUUGCUCGGUCGGGGCCAGUGUCCACCCUCUUCUACCCCCAGGAAGCCACUCAGGCCUGAGAAUUCAGCUCACACAGACAGAUCCCUUCCCCGACC
rnacentral:lncRNA from 1 species